rnacentral:rRNA from 1 species
UACGUAGGGUGCGAGCGUUGCCCGGAUUUAUUGGGCGUAAAGGGCGCGUAGGCGGUCACGCACGUCCGUUGUGAAAUCGCUCGGCUCAACUGGGCGGGGUCAGCGGAUACGGUGUGACUGGAGCAAGCUAGGGGGCAAUGGAAUUCCCGGUGUAGUGGUGGAAUGCGUAGAUAUCGGAAGGAACACCAGUGGCGAAGGCGGCUACCUGGACAAAUACUGACGCUGAGGCGCGAAAGCGUGGGGAGCAAACAGG